rnacentral:rRNA from 1 species
GACGAACGCUGGCGGCGUGCUUAACACAUGCAAGUCGAACGGUAAGGCCCUUCGGGGUACACGAGUGACGAACGGGUGAGUAACACGUGGGUGAUCUGCCCUGCACUUCGGGAUAAGCCUGGGAAACUGGGCCUAAUACCGGAUAGGACCACUGCCUGCAUGGGUGGUGGUGGAAAGCUUUUGCGGUGUGGGAUGGGCCCGCGGCCUAUCAGCUUGUUGGUGGGGUGAUGGCCUACCAAGGCGACGACGGGUAGCCGGCCUGAGAGGGUGACCGGCCACACUGGGACUGAGAUACGGCCCAGACUCCUACGGGAGGCAGCAGUGGGGAAUAUUGCACAUGGGCGCAAGCCUGAUGCAGCGACGCCGCGUGAGGGAUGACGGCCUUCGGGUUGUAAACCUCUUUCAGCACCGACGAAGCGCAAGUGACGGUAGGUGCAGAAGAAGGACCGGCCAACUACGUGCCAGCCGCCGCGGUAA